GAAGCUGACCAGACAGUCGCCGCUUCGUCGUCGUCCUCCCUUCGGGGGGGAGACGGGCGGAGGGGAGGAAAGUCCGGGCUCCAUAGGGCAAGGUGCCAGGUAACGCCUGGGGGGUGUCACAGCCCACGACCAGUGCAACAGAGAGCAAACCGCCGAUGGCCCGCGCAAGCGGGAUCAGGUAAGGGUGAAAGGGUGCGGUAAGAGCGCACCGCGCGGCUGGUAACAGUCCGCGGCACGGUAAACUCCACCCGGAGCAAGGCCAAAUAGGGGUUCAUAAGGUACGGCCCGUACUGAACCCGGGUAGGCUGCUUGAGCCAGUGAGCGAUUGCUGGCCUAGAUGAAUGACUGUCCACGACAGAACCCGGCUUAUCGGUCAGUUUCACCU
rnacentral:RNase_P_RNA from 1 species